UGUCCGCCAGAGUACUACGAGCGUAAGCUUAAAACCCAAAGGACUUGGCGGUGCUUUAGACCCACCUAGAGGAGCCUGUUCUAGAACCGAUAACCCCCGUUGAACCUCACCCUCACUUGUUAACCCAGCCUAUAUACCGCCGUCGUCAGCUCACCCUGUGAGGGCUUAAUAGUGGACUCAACUAGCAUACCCCCAAACGUCAGGUCGAGGUGUAGCAUAUGUGAGGGGAUUAAAUGGGCUACAUUCUCUACCCGCCAGAGCAUACGAAAAGUGUACUGAAAAUUAUAUUAAAAGGAGGAUUUAGCAGUAAGUGAAAAAUAUGAGAGUUUCACUGAAACCGGCUCUAAAGCGCGCACACACCGCCCGU
rnacentral:rRNA from 1 species